rnacentral:rRNA from 1 species
UUGACCUCGGAUCAGGUAGGAAUACCCGCUGAACUUAAGCUUU